GGAUCAUUAAAGUUAAUUGGAGGGGGGUUUGGAUGCUGGCCCGUGAGGGCACGUGCGCGCCUCCCUAUAANAAUCCUUUACACACCUGUGCACCUGUGGGCGAACGCCUCUCGGGGCGUUUUCCCUUACACACACACACACACGCACAAUGUAUGUAAUUGGGAGCAUAUGAUAUGGUUGACAACUUUCAACAACGGAUCUCUUGGCUUUCGCAUCGAUGAAGAACGCCGCGAAAGUGCGAAACGUAAUGUGAAUUGCAGAAUUCAGUGAAUCAUCGAAUCUUUGAACGCAUCUUGCGCUCCUUGGUAUUCCGAGGAGCAUGCCUGUUUGAGUGUCGUGAGCGUAACCCUCGACCCCCCUCGGGGGUCGGAUUUGGACGUCUGCGGCGGGGUAACUAACUCUCGCCGCUCGUCUUGAAAUGCAUUAGCCUCGGAAUCGGUCCGACGACGGCGUGAUAAGGAGAGAUAAUUGCAAACUCUGCGCCGUUUGAAGUCGGAACCGUGAGAUCGCUUACAGCCGUCUUUCAUUAGACUUUUCAUGUCG
rnacentral:rRNA from 1 species